rnacentral:tRNA from 1 species
AGCUUUAUAGUCAAUAAUGAUAUUAGACUGCAAUUCUAAAGGAGUAAAUAAUAUUACUAAGGCUU